rnacentral:rRNA from 1 species
UACCAGCACCCCGAGUGGUCGGGACGAUUAUUGGGCCUAAAGCAUCCGUAGCCGGUUCUACAAGUCUUCCGUUAAAUCCACCUGCUCAACAGUUGGGCUGCGGAGGAUACUAUAGAGCUAGGAGGCGGGAGAGGCAAGCGGUACUUAGUGGGUAGGGGUAAAAUCCGUUGAUCCAUUGAAGACCACCAGUGGCGAAGGCGGCUUGCCAGAACGCACUCGACGGUGAGGGAUGAAAGCUGGGGGAGCAAACUGG